rnacentral:lncRNA from 10 species
CUCCUCCAAUCAUCUCAUGCCUCCAGUGGGAACCUCGUGAUGAGCAUGCAUCCGAUUUUUACUAUGCGCACAGCAUCCUUCAGGGUGCCCCUCUUCCCCCGACCCCUGCUCUUCUCACCACCCUGGUCCCACCACCAUCCAAGAGCCAGCUACCCCAGGCCUCAGGCUGUGUAUGGCCCAUCUCUGUGUCUACAGGACAGGGCGGGCACGCACCCGCGCUCCGCGUCUCCAAACAGAAGGCCCGGCUAGGAGCUGCGCGCACCUCGGAGGCCUGGGCAACUUGGACCCAGUGCCGUCUGCGCCUCCGUUUCCUCAUCAGUAAAAGGGACCGUAAUUCCUCACCAGGACAUGACCUCGAGCCCACCGAGAGCCCCCACGGCAGGGAAGUACUGGGUUCCCCUCUGUCUCCCGCACGCUGCCGGGCGCAG